AUCAUUAUAAUAUUAUUUAAAACAUUUUUAAUGUCCGCGGCAAAACGGCCGAAUUGAAAUGACCACGGCGAAUCGUCUCAGACGCCUAGCGAUAAAAGUGGUUUCGAGCUCCGUGCCUAUCCGACGACUAAUCUAGGAACUGCUGAAAAAUUAACUGUUCUUGAAUUCACGAGUUUUACGAGUUCGGUAUUACCAGAUUUUUAUUGCAAGCGUAAGGCUAAAGUGUACAACGUCUGUCAUUAGAUCCCGAUUGCAUUUCGUGUUUGGCGAAUAAACGAAAGCGGGUCGAAACGAUUUCGGGUGCCUACGAAAUAGGUUCUUGCGUCUCGUGCUACACUACAAUACGGCGUUUUCGGCAUUCGUGGCGACGAAACAUAGUUAGCGGACGGACGUGUAAUAUGGACACGGUGUGUGGAGAUAAAGAUUUUAUACACUUUGUAUUAUCGCUUGAAAUUACGUAGGUUUAUAGUCGGGUACACGCAUUUGUCUUCGGCGUUACAUAACAAUAAUGGUUAUUAUUGUUCCUCAAGCACCUGCAGCUGUUUCUCUUGUUUACGAGUUCAAACGUUGUAACUAUACGUACUACACAUUAUAUACAACAAAAUCGCAGUGUCACGGGCGUA